rnacentral:lncRNA from 1 species
AUCCGGCUUCACAAAAUCAAAUUUCAGUUUCAAAAUUGUCUUUGCUGACACCUGGCUUUUUGGAUACUUCAGAGGGCCCCUGGAGUGUCCAGAAAAGAGAGCAGCAAUCUCCAGCCGCGGCUCAGAAAGAACAAGAGGGAUGGGUAAUGUAAACAUCUGGAUCAAGGCCGGGUUUGGUGGCUCAUGCCUGUAAUCCCAGCACUUUGCAAGGCUAAGGUAACCAAACUCCAAACAGCAAUGGAACCAGAGCCUCUGAAGGUGGCCCCUUCUGCUGGCAACCCUUAGACAGGCCUCACAGGGAGCCCUGACUGCUGUUUCCCCAAACAGCAUACCCCGUCAGUAGAAAGCACUUAGGAUCGAUUUUCGGGCCCACUUGGUGGCACGUGCCUGUAAUCCCAGCACUUUGGGAGGGCAGGAUGGGUGGAUCACUUGAGGUCGGAAGUCUGAGACCAGCCUGACCAACAUGGCAAAACCUCGUCUCUACUAAAAAUACAAAAAUUAGCCAGGCUAGCCAGGCAUGGUGGCACAUGCCUGUAAUCCCAGCUACUUUGGAGACUGAGGUAGGAGAAUCACUUGAACCCGGGAGGCAGAGAUUGCACUGAGCUGAGAUCGUGCUGCUACACUCCAGCCCGGGUGACAGAGCAAAACCCCGUCUCAAAAAAAAUAAAUAAAUAAAGA